rnacentral:rRNA from 1 species
UACGGAGGGGCUAGCGUUGUUCGGAAUUACUGGGCGUAAAGCGCACGUAGGCGGCUUUGCAAGUUAGAGGUGAAAGCCCGGGGCUCAACUCCGGAAUUGCCUUUAAAACUGCAUCGCUAGAAUUGUGGAGAGGUAAGUGGAAUUCCGAGUGUAGAGGUGAAAUUCGUAGAUAUUCGGAAGAACACCAGUGGCGAAGGACGACUUACUGGACACAUAUUGACGCUGAGGUG